GACGAACGCUGGCGGCGUGCUUAACACAUGCAAGUCGAACGGAAAGGCCCUGCUUUUGUGGGGUGCUCGAGUGGCGAACGGGUGAGUAACACGUGAGUAACCUGCCCUUGACUUUGGGAUAACUUCAGGAAGCUGGGGCUAAUACCGGAUAGGAGCUCCUGCUGCAUGGUGGGGGUUGGAAAGUUUCGGCGGUUGGGGAUGGACUCGCGGCUUAUCAGCUUGUUGGUGGGGUAGUGGCUUACCAAGGCUUUGACGGGUAGCCGGCCUGAGAGGGUGACCGGCCACAUUGGGACUGAGAUACGGCCCAGACUGCUACGGGAGGCAGCAGUGGGGAAUAUUGCACAAUGGGCGGAAGCCUGAUGCAGCAACGCCGCGUGCGGGAUGACGGCCUUCGGGUUGUAACCCGCUUUCGCCUGUGACGAAGCGUGAGUGACGGUAAUGGGUAAAGAAGCACCGGCUAACUACGUG
rnacentral:rRNA from 1 species